AUUGAACGCUGGCGGCAGGCCUAACACAUGCAAGUCGAACGCGUGGCGGACGGGUGAGUAAUGUCGGGGACACUGCCCGAUAGAGGGGGGUAACUACUGGAAACGGUAGAUAAUACCGCAUACCAUCAGAUGUGCCCAGAUGGGUUUAGCUAGUAGGUGGGGUAACGGCGCACCUAGGCGACGAUCCCUAGCUGGUCUGAGAGGAUUCUCAGCCACACUGUAACUGGGACACGGCCCAGACGCCUACGGGAGGCAGCAGUGGGGAAUAUUGCACAAUGGGCGCAAGCCUGAUGCAGCCAUGCCGCGUGUAUGAAGAAGGCCUUCGGGUUGUAAAGUACUUUCAGCGAGGAGGCGUUACUCGCAGAAGAAGCACCGGCUAACUCCGUGCCAGCAGCCGCGGUAAUAC
rnacentral:rRNA from 1 species